rnacentral:pre_miRNA from 1 species
CAUGCAUUGGUGGGGUCCCUUGGCCUGGCCUGAGCCCUCCCACAAUCUGAGGGGGAUGUUGGAUUGCCAGUUUCAGCUCGAUGCCUGCAGGCCAGGCCAAGGGACCCCACCAGUGCACA